rnacentral:rRNA from 1 species
UACAGAGGGGGCAAGCGUUGUUCGGAAUUACUGGGCGUAAAGGGCGCGUAGGCGGCCUUCUAAGUCGAACGUGAAAUCCCCGGGCUCAACCCGGGAACUGCGUCCGAUACUGGAAGGCUUGAAUCCGGGAGAGGGAUGUGGAAUUCCAGGUGUAGCGGUGAAAUGCGCAGAUAUCAGGAGGAACACCAAUGGCGAAGGCAGCUCGCUGGGACGUGACUGACGCUGAGACGCGAAAGCGUGGGGAGCAAACAGG